ACGAACGUUGGCGGCGUGGAUUAGGCAUGCAAGUCGAACGAAUCCCAGUUUUGUAGCAAUACAGAGUUGGGGGAAGUGGCGAAAGGGGCAGUAAGGCGUGGGUAACCUACCUCCGGGACGUGGAUAGCCAUUCUAACGAGUGGGUAAUACGCGGCGAUUUGAUUGAGGGGCAUCCCUUGGUCAGGAAAUGAAUUUCGCCUGGAGAGGGGCUCACGUGAUAUUAGCUAGUUGGUAAGGUAACGGCUUACCAAGGCAAAGAUGUCUAGCGGGUGUGAGAGCACGACCCGCGCCACUGGCACUGAGACACUGGCCAGACACCUACGGGUGGCUGCAGUCGAGGAUCUUUGGCAAUGAGCGCAAGCUCGACCAAGCGACGCCGCGUGUGCGAUGAAGGCCUUCGGGUUGUAAAGCACUGUCGAGGGGGAGGAAGCCGCAAGGUUGACCGAUCCCUGGAGGAAGCACGGGCUAAGUUCGUGCCAGCAGCCGCGGUAAGACGAACCGUGCGAACGUUGUUCGGAAUCACUGGGCUUAAAGGGCGCGUAGGCGGCUUGCCAAGUCAGUGGUGAAAGCCUGCAGCUUAACUGCAGAAGUGCCUUUGAUACUGGCGAGCUCGAGGGAGGUAGGGGUAUGUGGAACUUCUGGUGGAGCGGUGAAAUGCGUUGAUAUCAGAAGGAACGCCGGUGGCGAAAGCGACGUACUGGACCUCUUCUGACGCUGAGGCGCGAAAGCUAGGGGAGCAAACGGGAUUAGAUACCCCGGUAGUCCUAGCCCUAAACGUUGGGUACUAGGUUAGUAGACUAAGCAUGGGUUUCACUGCCGAAGCAAAAGUGCUAAGUACCCCCGCCUGGGGAGUAUGGUCGCAAGGCUGAAACUCAAAGGAAUUGACGGGGGCUCACACAAGCGGUGGAGCAUGUGGCUUAAUUCGAGGCUACGCGAAGAACCUUAUCCUGGACUUGACAUGUGCGAAAGCGGUCAGGGAGUAGAGAUCGGGAAACGCCGUCGAAGGUAUCCAAUCCUGAACCUGAUACAGGUGCUGCAUGGCUGUCGUCAGCUCGUGUCGUGAGAUGUCGGGUUAAGUCCCAUAACGAGCGAAACCCUUACCUUAGUUGCUACCCGGCAAGGGGGCACUCUAGAGGGACUGCCGGUGUCAAACCGGAGGAAGGUGGGGAUGACGUCAAGUCCUCAUGGCCUUUAUGUCCAGGGCUGCACACGUGCUACAAUGGCAUGUACACAAAGCGACGCGAACCUUGCGAAAGGAAGCUAAUCGCAAAAAUUACGGCCCAGUUCAGAUCGGAGGCUGCAACUCGCCUCCGUGAAGCCGGAAUCGCUAGUAAUCGCGGGUCAGCAACACCGCGGUGAAUGUGUUCCUGAGCCUUGUACACACCGCCCGUCAAGCCACGAAAGGGAGGAGCGCCCGAAGUCACUUUUACCAGUGCCGAAGGCGAGACUCCUGAUUGGGACU
rnacentral:rRNA from 1 species